AUCAUACGUCAUCUUCGUCAUAUCAAUGAAUGUUAAAUGUGAUGAUAGUAUAAAAGCGUAAUUGAUAUGUUAUUUUUGUUUAUGUAAUUUAAUUUUGGAUAUUUUGUGACACAUGUGUGCGUGGAAAUAAAAAUAUGUCAAUUUACAUAAUCACAAAAAAAUGAUAAAAAUCUCAUGUUUGGUGAAAAUAUAUAAUCACUAUGUUAUGGGACAUGUUUUAGAUGUGUUAAUUUAUGUCACAAUAAAAUAUUAAACUUAAAUUAAGUCACUUUUUCAAUAACCAAAUAGAAAAUGAAAGAAUAGUCACAUAAAUAUAAACUUCACCAAAUCCAUGUUAGUGUCACAAUUAGAAGCCAACUGCAUUGCACCGACAACAGCACGCCAUAAAAUUGUCUACCUUACUUGCAUCAUCCAAUCAAAGUUUAGAUUUUCGGCAACCUGUAUCACAAUUUACUUUGACAUUUAUCUGGUAAUUGAAAAACAGGUCAGGCCUAUUCCCAGAAAAAAAAAACACACAUUUAUGCAAGGUUUUUGAAUUGAAAUAUCCAUCCCUUUCAUUCUAAAAUUCAUUUAAAAAUUCUAUCAAGAGGAAAUUAUUUAAAACAAGAAAAUGUGGGAGCAUUUGCUGAAACUCGUUAGAUUUGACGUAUUGUGAAUUCUAAUUGAACCAGUGAUUUACCGGUGGUGAUUUUCCUACCUAUUUUCUGAUACAUCGCUGAUUAUUCAGAGUAUUACCAUUUCUGUAUUGUAUUUUACCAAAACAAUUUUUUUAUAUAUAUAUUAGCAGUGUAGUGAUAUUAGUUUAAUUUAGAGUUUAAAAAUAAAUACGAAAAUUCAAAAAGGUACUGCAAAAGCAUUGCUUUCUACCAAGGUUUUUCGAAUUUCUCAAUGGACAGUUUGGUGUCGCCAAGACACUGUUCUUCUCUGGUGUUGGUGUUGUUCGGUUGAUGGGUUCAGCUGUGCCUCAUCACCACAGCUGCUUCUCCCCGCCACCAGCUCCGCCUAGGGUUCCACCUCCGCCUUCAAGAAACUCUGUCAUCUAUGUAAUGUGUCUAGAUUGAAGCAUGUAUGGUCUGAAACAACUUCCAAACCCAUGAGAACUGGCAAUUUUCGAUUUGCAAAUGAUUCUGUCUGUCAUUCGUGUUCAUCUUACUUAUUCUUCAAUGGGGAAGAACAAAGAAAAGAGUAUGGAAAUGCGGUUAAUAGUGGAUCAUCCAAGAUAGAUACUUACAGGAGAAAUUCAUUUAACACAAGGAAAUUGCCCUACACCCUUAUAGAUGUUAAUGUGUUGUAAGUUUUCGCUUGUGAAAACAACUACAUGUUCAUUCAACAAAAGAUUGAAUUGUCUGUAUAAAAACGAAAAGUAAACACGAGGGAAGCUCUUGCUUUGGUUUCAUUGUAGUUUUAGAAACUGUGGGUUGAUAUUUGAUUACUGGUUAUGCAUAUUGUAUUUUGACUCUGUCAAAGAAAACUAGGCGCCGCUACAAGUUACUGGUUCUUCCAAGCACCCGCAGUUGGUACAUCAGGCACAAUAUUUAGAUUAGUUGGUUCUGUUGCUGUGUUUGUAACUAGAUAUAUAGGUAUGAUCAGAGAUGCCAAAGAAGAUCUGCAACACAGCACAAGUUAUUAGGCUAAUGUCAAGAGGCACCGAUAAAUGUGGUUAUAUAGGAGGCUUGAUUUGAGGAGCCGCAGUUUACUGGUCUGUAGGACCUGCAUGGAAGUAUGAAUCUAUGGCCAGCAAUGGCCAAAGAAUAUUCUCAGACUGAAAACCAUUUUUUACCUUACUGACAGAAAGCUGAAACUUCAAUGAACAAGUGGAGGCUCAAGUGGUAUCAUACUUGCAAGUAGAUUGCCUAUAUACCUUAGGUUGGUGCUUCAAGCCUCCUCACACAUAAAUGAUUUCCAUAAUUAAUGUUAGACACUAUACUGGCACCUCUCCAGUGAGUUUUGCAGGUCAUAUCUCCGUCAACCGAGGUGCUCUUGACUCUACGAACCCACGCCUACGGCAGGCCUCUUAAAGCAGUCGGGCUCUCAGCAAAUUCACAAGGAUAAAACUCCGCCACGGGAAGAAUACCUUACAUUGUUAGGGGUUCAAUUGCCUCAUUGACAAAAGAGAGAUUUGGAGGUUGGCCACAUCCUCUUUUGCAUGCUAAUAUUGGACGCCUUAUGGUCAAUUGUUAUUCUUUGAAUUCUGAUGGACCUACGAUGGAGAAUUUAAGCGGUCCAAGGAGAUUCCUUGUAGUUUACUUCCCCUCUGCUCUUUCAAGUAACAACUCUUAAACUCAUUACGGUACCUUAUAAAUUGCUGGUUGUGCAAAAUACCUGCUGUUGGUGCAUUAGGUGUAAUCUUUGGAUUAGUAAGUCAUCUUGAACUUAUUCACAAAAUAAGAUUAAUGCUGAUAAGGACCUGUUCCAACUAAUGAUUGUCCGCUUUUAAAAUCUAGGUUUUCUUUUCUUUCUUUUUUUUUUCUUUUUUGCUUGGGAAAUUGAUUGUUUGCUUUUAUCGCCGGUCUUUUUCUCAUUUGACAAUCUCUUGGCUGUUUAAGUUUGUUUUGUUGCUGUGUUUGUCUUGAGACAGAGGUAUGAUCAGAGAUCCCAAACACUGUAUGAUUCAAAGCUUUCGCAAUUCAAUGUUUGAGAUUCGGAGGAACCAUGUCAAUAAACCCAUCUCAUAUAUACCAAAUGCAGUCCCUAGAGUUGAUGCCUUAGUAAGUCUAGAUUUAUUCAAGUUUCUGUUAUGUUACUGGUGUGAUACAAUGAGUACCCUGAAAAAAGGUGUAGUCUCUACCGUCCUGAAGUGGACUUUUCUUAACGCAUCAAAUGCUUUUGCAUGAAUGUUGAUCAUGCAGGUUAUUGGGCUAAUGUCUAGAGGCAUUGAUAAUAGGGGAGACAUAAGUUUUAACUAUUACACGUCUGCUUGUAGUAUACCCCAAUUCAAUUGAAAAAAUAAUUUAAUUAAUGAGAAAAGUAAAUAAUA